rnacentral:rRNA from 1 species
UGGGGAAUAUUGGACAAUGGGCGCAAGCCUGAUCCAGCCAUGCCGCGUGAGUGACGAAGGCCUUAGGGUUGUAAAGCUCUUUUGGCGGGGAAGAUAAUGACGGUACCCGCAGAAUAAGCUCCGGCUAACUUCGUGCCAGCAGCCGCGGUAAUACGAAGGGAGCUAGCGUUGUUCGGAAUCACUGGGCGUAAAGCGCACGUAGGCGGACUUGUCAGUCAGGGGUGAAAUCCCGGAGCUCAACUUCGGAACUGCCUCUGAUACAGCAAGUCUCGAGUCCGGAAGAGGUGGGUGGAAUUCCUAGUGUAGAGGUGAAAUUCGUAGAUAUUAGGAAGAACACCGGUGGCGAAGGCGGCCCACUGGUCCGGUACUGACGCUGAGGUGCGAAAGCGUGGGGAGCAAACAGG